rnacentral:rRNA from 1 species
UACAGAGGUCUCAAGCGUUGUUCGGAUUCAUUGGGCGUAAAGGGUGCGUAGGUGGCGAGGUAAGUCGGAUGUGAAAAUCUCAGGGCUCAACCCUGAAACUGCAUUCGAUACUGCCUUGCUCGAGGACUGGAGAGGAGAUUGGAAUUCACGGUGUAGCAGUGAAAUGCGUAGAUAUCGUGAGGAAGACCAGUGGCGAAGGCGGAUCUCUGGACAGUUCCUGACACUGAGGCACGA